rnacentral:misc_RNA from 1 species
AGUAAAUAAAGAACCUCUGCCCAAGAUUGGCCCAAGAACUGAUAUCAUAUUCUCCACGGCAGAGCAUUAUGCAGAAAGGAAGGACCGAGUCUUGAUGCAUCAUCCUGUGGUGGAUGAAUCAAGAUAUGGCAAAAAAUAUGUCACACUGUCCCCUCCAAAAAGACCCACCAAAGGAGCUUUUGAGGAUUCAAGUAAUGGCUCCGACAAUGUACAAACAAAUAAAGUUCCAAUCCCAGCCACAGGAACGGUGCUAAAAUCAGUUGAAACUAAUUCACGCGCCUCACAUGGAUCAUCCGAUACCUUUGUUGAUUCUCCUGUUGAAUCCUCCCUUCCCUUAGAGUGGGUGCCUCCACAGGUAAGUGCACCAGUUCUAGACCUGGUUGAUGUCAUUUUUCAGCUCCAAGAUGGU